rnacentral:rRNA from 1 species
UACGAAGGGGGCUAGCGUUGCUCGGAAUCACUGGGCGUAAAGCGCACGUAGGCGGACUCUUAAGUCAGGGGUGAAAUCCUGGAGCUCAACUCCAGAACUGCCUUUGAUACUGGGAGUCUUGAGUUCGGGAGAGGUGAGUGGAACUGCGAGUGUAGAGGUGAAAUUCGUAGAUAUUCGCAAGAACACCAGUGGCGAAGGCGGCUCACUGGCCCGAUACUGACGCUGAGGAGCGAAAGCCAGGGGAGCAAACGGG